ACAACGACCAAUCCUUAAAGACCACUCUUUCAUCUAAGAAUGCCUAAUAGCCGCAUCGAUCAUUUGGGGGGGGGGGGGUUGAGAGGUGGGUAGUUUAUCUGGGGUGAGUGCCUCCUAAAGAGUAAUGGAGGUGUGCGAAGGGAGGCUCAAGUGUUGAUUUUGCUCGUGAGUGUAAUUGUAUAAACCUGCCUGACUGUGAGAACGACUGGUCGAAUAGAGACGAAAGUCAGCCAUAGAGAUCCGGGAGUCUCGUGUGAAAGAGCUCUCGCUCAACGCAU
rnacentral:ncRNA from 1 species